rnacentral:lncRNA from 1 species
ACUAAGGCUUUUCUUCUUUUCCCCAUUUUGUCUCCUGAAAGGCUGGAGUGUGGGAAAGGAAACAGCCCAGUCUUAAUCAUCUAUAUUCAUAAGUGGGUGCUGGUGAAGGUAAAGUUCAGAAAGCAUCCAACAGAGGGCCUAUUAUUUGCACCCUGGAUAGUUACUAUGUGUUUGUGUCCCCCAGAAUUCAUAGGCGGAAACCCUAAGCCCCAAUGUGGUAUUAGGUAAUUAGGUUUAGAUGAGGUCAUGAAAGCAAGCCCCAAGGCCCCAAGGGAUUAGUGCCCUUAUGAGAAGAGGAAGAUAAACCAGAACUUCCUCUUUCUGCCAUGUGAGGAUAUGUUGAGAAGGAGGCUGUCUGCUGGCCAGGAAGAGAGCCCUCACCAGAAACACAAUCUGCCCAUACCUUGAUUUUGGACUUCCCAGCCUCCAGAACUCUUCUGGAAGCCCCUCACAUUCCUUGGCUCGUGGCCCCUUCCUCCAUCUUCAAAGACAUCAGUGGCAGGUAAAGUCCUUCUCAUGUUGCAUCCAUCUGACUCACAGUCAUAUCUUCCUCCCUCCACAGCUGGGAAAGUUCAUCUCUUUUGAAGGAUUCAUAGGAUUAGAUUGGGCCCACAGAAUAAUCGAGGAUAAUCUCCCCAUCUCACAGUCCUUAAAAUUAAUCAUAUUUGCAAAUUCCCUUUUGCCAUGUGAGGUAACAUAUUGACAGGUUCCAGACAUUAGGAGGUGGGCAUCAUUCCGGUGCCAUUAUUCUGCCCAUCAUAGUCAAGUAGACGACACGAUUCCAGACUUGGAAUUAGCAGAAGUCGAUGCAAGCUCAAUUAAGAAAUGGCAGCAAACUAGCACACGACUAGAGUAAGGCAUGGAAUUGCUCUGAAUUUGUGCUUUCUCCCUUGGUCAAAAAAAAAAAAAAAAGAAAAGAAAAUAGGAGGUGUUCUCUAUUUUAUUAACUAUGUCAGAGAGCAAUCUGAGGCUGUCACGCUCCAAAAGCAUGACACACAGUCUUAGGAGAAAGCCAUUUGCAAUGUCCUGAGGGAAGCAGGGCACUGAGAGAGCUCGGGACUUGUCAGAACAUGUCAUGAACUACCAGCUUCAGAGAAAAUAGCUACCUGAUCAGUAUGUUGUGUUUGACAUCUUUGAGCAAGUCUCCAGGGUGUAUUUCAGGAGACCUGGGCUCUAGCACAGUGACAGUAAGGGAGGAGAAAACAAAGAUGGUUGAAACCCUUGUGUCCCCGGAUUCUAGUUACAUAUGAUUUAGUGAAGGCGUCAAGCACGUGCAUAACUCAGAUACAUGGCAGGAUGAAAAAGGCUGCAGCCUGAGGAGGAACAGGCUACAGGACUCGUGCCUAUGGUCCAUCCAGGUUACUGCUUUGUCUCUGAUAGAGACCCAAAGGAACAGUUUUGGGAUAGGUCAGCCAAACGGAAAGGCCAAGAACACCCCCUAAAUGUGCCUACCUUCCCUCUAAUAAUCCAUUGUGGUUCUAUCUUACAUUAAUUCCCUUAAUCUCAUUUUUAA